rnacentral:rRNA from 1 species
UACGGAGGGUGCGAGCGUUAAUCGGAAUUACUGGGCGUAAAGCGUGCGCAGGCGGUUUGUUAAGCCAGAUGUGAAAGCCCCGGGCUCAACCUGGGAACCGCAUUUCGAACUGGCAAACUAGAGUCUUGUAGAGGGGGGUAGAAUUCCAGGUGUAGCGGUGAAAUGCGUAGAGAUCUGGAGGAAUACCGGUGGCGAAGGCGGCCCCCUGGGCCUGUACUGACGCUCAUGCACGAAAGCGUGGGGAGCAAACAGG